rnacentral:rRNA from 1 species
CGCGGCCUAUCAGCUUGUUGGUGGGGUGAUGGCCUACCAAGGCGACGACGGGUAGCCGGCCUGAGAGGGUGUCCGGCCACACUGGGACUGAGAUACGGCCCAGACUCCUACGGGAGGCAGCAGUGGGGAAUAUUGCACAAUGGGCGCAAGCCUGAUGCAGCGACGCCGCGUGGGGGGUGACGGCCUUCGGGUUGUAAACCUCUUUCACCAUCGGCGAAGCCGGGAGCUUUUGUUUCUGGUGACGGUAGGUGGAGAAGAAGCACCGGCCAACUACGUGCCAGCAGCCGCGGUAAUACGUAGGGUGCGAGCGUUGUCCGGAAUUACUGGGCGUAAAGAGCUCGUAGGUGGUUUGUCGCGUUGUCCGUGAAAUUCCCUGGCUUAACUGGGGGCGUGCGGGCGAUACGGGCAGACUGGAGUACUGCAGGGGAGACUGGAAUUCCUGGUGUAGCGGUGGAAUGCGCAGAUAUCAGGAGGAACACCGGUGGCGAAGGCGGGUCUCUGGGCAGUAACUGACGCUGAGGAGCGAAAGCGUGGGGAGCGAACAGGAUUAGAUACCCUGGUAGUCCACGCCGUAAACGGUGGGUACUAGGUGUGGGUUUCCUUCCUUGGGAUCCGUGCCGUAGCUAACGCAUUAAGUACCCCGCCUGGGGAGUACGG